rnacentral:ncRNA from 1 species
CACCGUCCGUCACACCCUGGGAAUUGGUUUCGCCCGAAGCAUAGGACCAAUGAUCACCCAUGAUUUCUGUGGCACACUAGUGCCACAAAGGCCUUUGGUGGUCUUAUUGGCGCAUAACACGGUGGGGUUUUCGACUAGGGCGAAGUCCUAACAAGGUAGCCGUAGGGGAACCUGUGGCUG